rnacentral:snoRNA from 1 species
AAACCAUGAUGAGGGCAUUGAGACCAAUAGCCCUUGAACCUCUCCCAUGCUUCACUGAAACUCUCUAGACCUUUCUGUUCCUUUCUGUUGAAACCCGGAGAUUUCGUUCCUGAUCUU